CCCUUAGAUGUUCUGGGCCGCACGCGCGCUACACUGAUGCAUUCAACGAGUCUAAAACCUGCUCUGAUAGGGGUGGGUAAUCUUUUGAAAGUGCAUCGUGAUAGGGAUAGACUAUUGCAAUUAUUGGUCUUCAACGAGGAAUUCCUAGUAGACGUAGUUCAUCAGACUGCAUCGAUUACGUCCCUGCCCUUUGUACACACCGCCCGUCGCUCCUACCGAUUGAAUGCUCAGGUGAGCCAUUCGGACUUUCAUCAUGCUGGUUUCCAGUUUUGAUGAAGGAAAGUCUUGCGAACCUUAUCAUUUAGAGGAAGGAGAAGUCGUAACA
rnacentral:rRNA from 1 species